AACGAACGCUGGCGGCAUGCCUAACACAUGCAAGUCGAACGAGACCUUCGGGUCUAGUGGCGCACGGGUGCGUAACGCGUGGGAACCUGCCCUUAGGUUCGGAAUAACUCCCCGAAAGGGGUGCUAAUACCGGAUAAUGUCUUCGGACCAAAGAUUUAUCGCCUUUGGAUGGGCCCGCGUUGGAUUAGCUAGUUGGUAGGGUAAAAGCCUACCAAGGCGACGAUCCAUAGCUGGUCUGAGAGGAUGAUCAGCCACACUGGGACUGAGACACGGCCCAGACUACUACGGGAGGGAGCAGUGGGGAAUAAUGGAAAAUGGGCGAAAGGCUGAUCCAGCAAUGCCGGGUGAGUGAUGAAGGCCUUAGGGUUGUAAAGCUCUUUUACCCGGGAUGAUAAUGACAGUACCGGGAGAAUAAGCUCCAGCUAACUCCGUG
rnacentral:rRNA from 1 species